rnacentral:rRNA from 1 species
AAUACUCGACGAAGGCGGACUAACUACCCCAUGGUAUCCGGCUUGUCCGGAAUUAAAGAUUUAUCGCUCUGGGAGGGGCCUGCGUCUGAUUAGCUAGUUGAUGAGGUAAAAGCUCACCAAGGCGACGAUCAGUAGUUGGAUCGAGAGGUUGACCAGCCACACUGGGACUGAGAUACGGCCCAGACUCCUACGGGAGGCAGCAGUAAGGAAUAUUCCACAAUGGGGGAAACCCCUGAUGGAGCAAUGCCGCGUGCAGGAUGAAGCGUUUCGGCGUGUAAACUGCUUUUAAACGGGAAGAUUAUGACGGUACCGUUAGAAUAAGGACCGGCUAAUUACGUG